rnacentral:rRNA from 1 species
AUUGAACGCUGGCGGCAGGCCUAACACAUGCAAGUCGAGCGGAAGAAGGGAGCUUGCUCCUGGAUUCAGCGGCGGACGGGUGAGUAAUGCCUAGGAAUCUGCCUGGUAGUGGGGGAUAACGUCCGGAAACGGGCGCUAAUACCGCAUACGUCCUGAGGGAGAAAGUGGGGGAUCUUCGGACCUCACGCUAUCAGAUGAGCCUAGGUCGGAUUAGCUAGUUGGUGGGGUAAAGGCCUACCAAGGCGACGAUCCGUAACUGGUCUGAGAGGAUGAUCAGUCAGCCUGGAACGGAGACAGGGUCCAGACUCCUACGGGAGGCAGCAGUGGGGAAUAUUGGACAAUGGGCGAAAGCCUGAUCCAGCCAGGCCGCGUGUGUGAAGAAGGUCUUCGGAUUGUAAAGCACUUCAAGUUGGGAGGAAGGGCAGUAAGUUAAUACCUUGCUGUUUUGACGUUACCAACAGAAUAAGCACCGGCCAACUUCGUG